UGAAGGUCAGGCUGAAGACCUUACCCGAUUAGCUGAGAGGUGGUGCAUGGCCGUCGUCAGUUCGUACUGUGAAGCAUCCUGUUAAGUCAGGCAACGAGCGAGACCCACGUCCACAGUUGCCAGCAUACCCUCCGGGGUGAUGGGUACACUGUGGAGACCGCCGCUGCUAAAGCGGAGGAAGGAGUGGGCAACGGUAGGUCAGUAUGCCCCGAAUCUCCCGGGCUACACGCGGGCUACAAUGGUUGGUACAAUGGGCACCUACCCCGAAAGGGGAAGGAAAUCUCUUAAAGCCAAUCGUAGUUCGGAUUGAGGGCUGCAACUCGCCCUCAUGAAGCUGGAAUCCGUAGUAAUCGCGUUUCAACAGAACGCGGUGAAUACGUCCCUGCUCCUU
rnacentral:rRNA from 1 species